UCCUAUGCCAGCUACACUAUCUGAACAGAAUCUGGAAACACGUGCUUCAACAAAUUAGCUCUUUGCAGAAAUAACUGUCAGCAUGUAAACAGGAUAACAGUUAAGUCAGAGUGAAUCAGCAAACUCUUCCAAACAGCCAAGAGCAAUAGAUGUCAGUGUCUCCUCUGGACUCUCCAGAAAUAUUUUCUUCAGCCUACCCUGCUUUUUAAGCUUCAGUUAAGAAACUGUACUUCAAAAGGUUUUGGAACCAGCUGUUGCACAAAAGUGUGGACCCCAAGAACCACUUCCAAAAGUAAAGCAGAACAACUAAUGCAAAGUUGACAAAAGCAAGCUGUGACCAUGAUGCAAUGAACAAUCCAGCUAGUCCCCCCAAAAAUCACAGGAUUGCUAGCACAGAUGCAGAGACAUGUAUGGGAACACACCACUCCAACUGCCAUACGCUGACUGGAAAAUGUAUCCUACUUGAAAAUGCACCACAGGAAACCGAAGUUUCUCUAAAUCUGCAGAAAAACCAGCAGAGUUAAGAAAAAGAUGUGCAGACCAAACUUUAAAAUGAGAGAAACCCCUUUCCUCAAACCUGAAGGAUGUUUCACAAUACUCUACAAUAGACUUUGCUAGACGACAUGAAAGACAGCAAUAUUUUACUCCAAGUAACAUCAAUGACCAACGAACUCAAUCUGUAAAUGGGGAAAAAAACCUACAGACAGAUGCAGACUGAUUCCUGGAAAUGAAUAGGUUUUUUCUGGGUUCUACAUAAAGAUAGAAAAGGACUCGGUUGCUUUUUGCUUUUCUUUUAAACUAAGAUGCCUUGUGGGAUGAUUACAUCAACCAGCAAGUAAUGUCAGUUAGAAAAAAAAAAAAUUCAGACAAACCAUUUUAUUAUCGGAAGAGAUGUUACUAAUUGCAAAA